GCGCUCGUUGUUUAGCGGUUAGAAUGUUGGCUUCCCAAGCCAGCGACCCGGGUUCGAAUCCCGGCGAGCGCA
rnacentral:tRNA from 2 species